CAAAUUUUUCUCUGUAUCAGAAACAUCCCUCAAUCACCAUAGACGUUAGUAAUCUGAUUUAAUCUGCUUCUACAGAAAAAUGCUUCACAGAAUUUAGUCAUCUUCCCUCAAUUCCUUUAGUUCAGUUACUCUGUUUUCAUCCCCUCUGUCGAUUGGGUCCCCGUACCCUCGAAGAGGGUUUGGGGGCCUCUCAGGGACUCUGCUAUUAGCCAUUAUCCCAACACGCCGGGCGCUCCUUCUGUCACUUAUUCUUGCUUUAUGCAUGCCUCAUGUGAAUCCUUCGCUAUUCACAAGACUUGCUCCGUAAUUUAAUGGAAUGCUCGCUUCAACAUACAAGCUUCUAGGUGAUUGAGGUGUGAUCUCCUUAUCCUUGCCCUUGCUUUUUAUACCAGUGGCUAGUUUUUUAUAGCCUAUAACAUUUUAAAGGUGUUUUAAACCGUUCUGAACACAAAUGAACCCUAAAAGACUAUAACGAAAAGAAUUGGAGAUUAGAGAAAAUAACUAGUGAAGAGCCAUGUGUACCUCCAAUAUCUCAAUUGUUCAAUCAAAAGAAGUUUCAAUUACUAUUAUAUUUGUUUUAAUGUUUUAGUUCUUCUUCUAGGUUAGUCGUCUUGUCUUGUGAUUACUAGUUUUUUAAUGUAACAUUUGCUAUUGAUGUCAAUUACAUUUUAUUUUUCGAGUUUGCAAAUUGGACUUUUUAUCUUGUUAAGAUGUUCUAUUACGGAUUUUUUUUAACUUUUUGUAGUUUAUUAUUAAUAUAUUUUGUACUUUUAAUUGAUUAUAUUAUUUUUUUGGGUUUACCUUGAGGUUCACGGCUUGUGUGAUAGAGGCAAAUUCCUCGAUACAACGAGGCACUUUAUAAAUCUGGUUGCUUGGUAAAUGGCUACUAAAGUUUUUGUAAAUUUGGGAAGAGGGUUGGAGUUUGUUGACUAUCUAACCUAGUUCCGUCUAGGAACAACCUUGUCUUGAAACAUUUAAGUAAUUUAGGGCUGCAAGUUAGCUUUAGUAGCUUGAUUUAAGCUCAGCUGAAUUGGAGUGAGCCAUUGGACAAAAAUACUGACUUGUAGGCUCAUGAGCUUUUUGUUAGUCUAGGUUUGUAAGAUAGUAAUGUUGUUUCAUAAUGAUAUUUCCCUCCAUUACAUCAUCCUUUUGAAGAAGUAAAAGGGACACUGAUAAAGAACAUAAUUGAACAAGAACAGCAAGUGAUAAAGUUUUCAAUGGACCAAAAAUUCAGAAAUUUGGCAGUCCUCAAAUCCUUUGUUCAUAAACUGGUGAAAAUCAGUACCAUUUUUAGAUUGUGGGUUUAGUGCUUGUUUACUCCAUUAUCAUAUAUUAUUAUUGAAUUCUACGCUCUCUCUCUUUUUUUUUUUUAAAUAUUUUUCUUCUAUAGAUUAGAUGUUUAAUUUAUGUGCACAUUUUUAUGAGUUUAUUGUUACUUAGAUUAGACACACACGCGCGCACACUCUCUUUGACUUGAUUUUCAGAAAAUUAGGACACAGACAUGUCUAGAUACGUCAAUUAAAGUAAUAAUAAAUUUUAUAUUUAUUUUAAAAAUUUUAUAAUGCAGAGUGAAUCUAACAUUUCAUACUUGAUGCAUCAAAGUGUAUAUAAAAUAUAUAACAAACUUGACACGAAGUUCAUGGUUUUCUCAUAGCAUGGAGUUCAGCAAAACGAAAAUGAAAUAAUUUCUAUCAUUUUACCUUGAGUUGCAUCUCCAACAUUUUCAUCUGUGUCAUCAGUGAAGUGUGCUGCCUCCAAUACAGGUUUAUGAGUUUAUCUAGAGACAAAUGGCAUUUUUAAACACACUAACAUUAUCAACUGAAUCAAAUUUAUUAGUUUUAAUGUCCGACAUCUUAGUCUCUCCUCGUAUAUAAUAUGGGUUCCUUUGUAAUAGACAAAGAUUUCUAUAGAAGGAGACUAAAUUCUUUGCACAUGUUGGAGCUAGGGUAUUCCUUUUAAGAGAAUUCAAAAAGGAAUAAGAAUUGCAUUUUCGCUUACAACACCGUGAAGACGUUUAUACAAAUAACUUCAAGAUAUUGUGUGAAGCAUUGUUAUAUAAGCGCCAUGAAUGACCCAUAAAGCCUUUAGGUCAACGUUGUAAUGAUCAUUGAUAGUACCAAAAUCUGUGAAUCACUCUAUCAAUUGAUCACAAUUCUCACUCCUUUUUCUAUUGGCAUGCCCUUAAUAGGAUGCUAUAUUGUUUCUAUAUUGGCCUUUCUCUCAUUGAAGAAUAGUAGCUCUCAAACUAUAUCCUAGAGGAAAGUGUUAAUAGAAUGCAAAAAGGAAUAGUUACUCCAUUUUCACUCUCAACACUAUGGAUGUCUGCACAAAUCAUUUCAUGGGAAUGUUUGAAGCAUAGGUACAUGAGCACCAUGAAGGACCCACCAAGUCUUUAGGCCUAUGUGAUAAUGAUCGUAGAUAUUAUUGAAGGCUGUGCGAGCUGAUUGAGCAAUUAUUCACAAUUCUCACUUUAUUUUUAUUUUGUUGCUUUAAUAGAUUGCAAUAAUCUUUCAACAUUGACUUUCUUUAUUUGGAAAAGAGCAACUCUCAACGAAUUAUAUUCUGGGGGUAAACAUCCUCACAAAGGGAUAUCAACACAAGAGUAUAACAGACAUUAUUAUGAUUUAUUGCUCAAUAAAGAGCAGACUCUCUGAAUGAACAUUCUAGCAAUUUCAUCAUGCAGCUAUUUGUUGUCAUAUUAAAAGCUUUCUCAAUUGUAUUUCCACUUCCUCUAGCCUUUCUUUUCUUUUGCUUAGUUCUAUGAAAAUUAAUAUCAAUUUUACUAUUAAUAAAAUUUCUACCCAAUGACAAUGGUUCAUUAUUUAUCAUUCUUAAUUUAGCCGCAUCUUUCGCCUUUUGCAUAUUGCUUGUAUCUUUUGUAGUUACUUUUGGACAAAUCUCAAUACCACAUCGCGAUAAUUUUAAGGAAUGUGCCCUUACUCAUGCAUAUGAUAUUCUUAGCUGCAUUUCAAAAAUUGCAUUGCCAGUUAUCACCGCCUUCAUUGAGUUAUAUCAUAUAUUGUCACAUAUUUCUAAAGAGGUUUAGACAUAUUAUCAUCUACUCCCUAUCGUGUUCUUGAGAUGGAGAUGGAAAUUUUGAGGAAGCUGAAGUGAAAUGCAAAACGAGCAGACUAAGAAUCGAGGAAGACUAGUAUGGUUCAUGACAGCUUCUAUACGUAUGUAUUAUGCAUUCUUUGCAAUUUAAGGUUGGAAGGUUAAAAUAGUUAAGUUUCGAUUGGUUUUUCUUCCACGAUUUUUUACUCUUGAAGUUGUUCUAUGUUCAAUUGUGUGCCCGUUCUUUUAAGUAAAGUUUGUUGCCUGUUUUUCAUUUACCUUAAAAAUUUGUGUCUUAUAUUAUCAAAUCACGCUUCUUAAUUGUUUAGAAGCAGUGACAAAAUGCAAGUACAAUAAAAAUUCCGUAAUCCAGGAAAAUUAUCAUAUCGAUUUUGUAUCAUUUUGGCGGCAUGGCCGAGUGGUAAGGCAGAGGACGGCAAAUCCUUUUUCCCCAGUUCAAAUCCAGGUGUUCCCUGAUCAACGGUCAAAGCAUUCGGGAACUAGAAGAAAAACUCCAGGGACUACGCCAGGAGCAGCAGACACUGAUCCUGGCGGCAUACAAUCGAAACGACUCCCGCUAGAUAGCCGCCCCUUUAUCUCUUUUUACAGCUUCGUGGACGAACGGCCUGAUCCUUAAUCUAUUUUAUAUUAGAUUUACAUUACGAAAUACUUUCGCGGAAAUGGAACCUACAAACUAGGAAAAAGACUAGCUUAUCUAUCCACGCUAAAAAGGGAAUCUUUAGCAUUAUGAGCCGGGACGCCCAACUUCUCCCGAACAGGCACAAGCGUGAUUCAGGCAAGUCAAAUGACGAAUCAUUUCAAAGAGAUCGCGUUUCGGGAUGCAUGAUGACUCCUGAUUGUUAUUCUGUCAACGAUUCCGUCAAAGGUGAGAAGUUAGAAGAAGGAAUUGAAUUCUUUCUACGCCUGCUAGAGAUGCUUUAUCUAAAGAUUACUUUCAAGUGGGGAGUGAAUGAAAGUCGAUACCGAAAUCCUAGGCUCAAAAGCCACAUUUUUCGAGAUUAGGGUUUCUCUUCAUUUAGCGCUAUCCUCUUUCCUCCCUAACACAUUUGGCACUAAUUCUUUCCCUCUUCCACCUAGCAGCAUCUCCUCUUCCGCCCAGCUGCCUCCUUCCUCUGAUCAUUUGCCAUUUCCUCUUCAGGUUAGUAUCCCCUUUUCCCAUUUUGUUUUUGAUUGUUUGAAAUGCAUUUGCCAUUUCCAAUAUGUGGUGACCGGUUCAAAAAAAUAAUGAAACGUGACAUGCCCAUCUGUGUGUCGGACAUAUACCUGGUAUGUAUCCAUGUCAGGUAUCUGUCUGACAAGGACACUCCGGCUCCAGUGGCAUGUCUGUGCUUACUAAUUAUUCUAUCUAAAGAAAUGGAUUGUGACCAUUAAGGCAAUUGCAUAGAGAUUCACAAAUCAAUUGCCAUCAAAGUUCUUAGUGUGGAAUAUAUCAAUAUUGGGUUAUCUGCUACUUAUCCUUUCCACACUUGAAUGCUCUAAUAUGUCCACAUUGAAUUUUCUAAUAAAAUUGGCAUGCUGUUCUAGGUGAGAUUUGAAUAAGUUGAUAUUUGACUUGAGUUUUCAUUUUUACCAUCAAAACUGAUGGCCAAGAAUCAUGUUAUGUGUUGAUUCUAUAAGUAAACGUAGUUUUUGGAAAGUAGUUAUUUUUGGAAAUGGAGUAUUAUUUAUGGACAUCCCAGAAGGGAAAUGAAGCAU